rnacentral:rRNA from 1 species
AACGAACGCUGGCGGCAUGCCUAACACAUGCAAGUCGAACGAGACCUUCGGGUUUAGUGGCGCACGGGUGCGUAACGCGUGGGAACCUGCCCUUAGGUUCGGAAUAACUCCCCGAAAGGGGUGCUAAUACCGGUUAAUGUCUUCCGACCAAAGAUUUAUCGCCUUUGGAUGGGCCCGCGUUGGAUUAGCUAGUUGGUAGGGUAAAAGCCUACCAAGGGGACGAUCCAUAGCUGGUCUGAGAGGAUGAUCAGCCACACUGGGACUGAGACACGGCCCAGACUCCUACGGGAGGCAGCAGUGGGGAAUAUUGGACAAUGGGCGAAAGCCUGAUCCAGCAAUGCCGCGUGAGUGAUGAAGGCCUUAGGGUUGUAAAGCUCUUUUACCCGGGAUGAUAAUGACAGUACCGGGAGAAUAAGCUCCGGCUAACUCCGUG